CAAAGAACUUUGAAGAGAGAGUUAACAGGGCGUGAAACCGCUAAUAAGCAAACGGAUAGAGCAGACGUUAGUCGUCGAGAUUCAGCUCAUCAGUGUCCGGACCCGUUGUCUGCAGCGUGAAAAGCCUGUGGGCGGCGGUGAUUCGAGCUCUGUGGGUGCACUUCUCGGCGAUCGCAUCAGGGGCGGUGGGGGUGUCGCGUUGGUCUGGAGUGGGUGGCCUGCUGUUUCGGCAGUGGGUGUCUUGCUUCGGUGUCCAGUGCGGUCGCCUCUACCGUUAUGGAAUAGGUGCCCGCCUCUAGUUCGCUAGUUGUGGCAUCUGUGCUGCCUCGUUGGGAUACCAGUCUCUGGCCCCGGCUUGUGCGGUGUAGGUGUUUGCGGCGAUGCGAGCGGUGCCUGGCCCUGGUGUUUUGUCAGUUACCUAUCCGACCCGUCUUGAAACACGGACCAAGGAGUCUAACAUGGGCGCGAGUCAUUGGGCGAAUAAACCUAAAGGCGAAGUGAAAGCAAAGGCUACCUCUGGUGGCUGAUAUGGGAUCCGUACCUCGGUGCGGCGCACCAUAGUCCCGUCCCGUGGGCAUUGUCCCUGGGGCGGAGAUAGAGCGUGCAUGUUGGGACCCGAAAGAUGGCGAACUUAACGUGAUCAGGGUGAAGCCAGAGGAAACUCUGGUGGAGGCCCAUACAGGUUCUGACGUGCAAAUCGAUCUGAAGAAUUGCGUUAAGGGGCGAAAGACUAAUCGAGCUGUC
rnacentral:rRNA from 1 species